GGGGAUGUAGUUCAGUGGUAUAGCACCUGCCUGGCAAGCAGGAAGCCCUGAGCUUUAUUCCCA
rnacentral:tRNA from 1 species